GUGUGUGUGUGUGUGUGUGUGUGUGUGUGUGUGUGUGUGUGUGUGUGUGUGUGUGUGUGAGCAGGGCAUGCAGCACCAGAUCGCUCAUGUGGCCACGCAGCUGAAAGUGGCUCGACUGCUGACCUGCAAUGCUGCGAAGGAGGCUGGAUGGUCCUUCAUUAAAGAGGCCUGCAUGGCCAAGUACUUCACCGCAGAGGUGGCGGCUCUGACCACAUCCAAGUGCAUCGAGUGGAUGGGCGGCGUGGGCUUCUCCAGACUAUCCCAUCGAGAAGUACUACAGAGACUGUAAGAUCGGAACCAGCAACAUCCAGCUGAGCACCAUGGCCAAGACGAUCGCCCAGGAAUAUGACGGAUAAACAUCUGUGUGUCACAUACACCAGAAGAGUAAUUGAGCUAUUAAUGACAUGUAAGCUGUAGUUUUCAUGUAUUAAACAUGUUGAUGCUCUUUCUCAGCUCGGGGGUCUCCUCUGGUGAGAUUCACACAGCGAUCGUGUAAUAAGACUCUCCGAGUUCUGCAACUGAACUGUGUUGGACUCUUAAUGGAUCAUUUGACAGUUCUCUAGUUAUUUGUGUUGUAAGACUGAAAUUAUAUCACAGCAAAUGAGUUGAAGUCUGUUUUUCUGAAGUCUUUUCACUUUUAAAAUGAAGCUAUCGUUAGACUUGGAUUAUAUUCCUGUUAGUUUUUGAUGUAUUCGGUGUCUUAUUGAUCGCUGACGGCUGUUGAUUUGAGAUCGGUCGGGUCUCUGGUGUUUGUGUUUGUGUGGCUGAA